rnacentral:rRNA from 1 species
CCUGGCUUAGGACGAACGCUGGCGGCGUGCCUAACACAUGCAAGUCGAACGGAGUCAAGAAGCUUGCUUUUGACUUAGUGGCGGACGGGUGAGUAACGCGUGAGUAACCUGCCUCUGAGAGGGGAAUAACGUUCUGAAAAGAACGCUAAUACCGCAUAACGUAUUGAAGCCGCAUGACUUUGAUACCAAAGAUUUUAUCGCUCGGAGAUGGACUCGCGUCCGAUUAGUUAGUUGGUGAGGUAACGGCUCACCAAGACCGCGAUCGGUAGCCGGACUGAGAGGUUGAUCGGCCACAUUGGGACUGAGACACGGCCCGGACUCCUACGGGAGGCAGCAGUGGGGGAUAUUGCGCAAUGGGGGCAACCCUGAACCGCAGCAACGCCGCGUGAAGGAUGAAGGUUUUCGGAUUGUAAACUUCUUUUAUCAGGGACGAAAUCUGACGGUACCUGAUGAAUAAGCUCCGGCUAACUACGUGCCAGCAGCAGC